rnacentral:lncRNA from 1 species
AUUUUUUUACUAACCCAAACGCUGCCGGUGAUAACUCUGAACACCUUAGAGAACUAUUGACAUCACAGCGUUGGGGCCAGCUUGGAUUUGGGUGCUGUCAUUUCCUAGCUAUGUGAUUCUGGCCAGGUGCCCUGAUCUCUCUAGAUACCAGGCUCCUCCUUAUGCAAAUGAUAACAGGAGAUGCCUCUGUGUAGGUUACCUGUGUGAACGGUUGAGUUCUUGGCACAGUGUUUGUGAGAUAAUAAGCCCCAGGGUUCCUGAUGUUGCUAAAACAAUGUCAAUUAUACCUAGUUUCUGAAGUAAGCUCCUGUGGCUUUGCUACAGCAGCUUUACAAAUAAACAUCCUGUUUAUAUAUCUUUUACUCAUAUUUUUAUCCAUCCAGAGUUUUUCUUAUGUAUGAGUUUUCUUCACUGAAUGAAGGAUACACAAUGUUCAUAUUUCCUUUCUGUGGCUGUAGUAGACACCAUGACCAAAGCAAGUCAGGUCUUCCAGCCAUGACCCAUGCCAGAAGCAUGAGAGACAGGCUGUGACACCUGCUGCAGAUGGAAGUAUGAAGGAAGCAGUGCUGGAGGGAGAAGUUUGACAUUUAACUCAGCUACAAGGAACUUGAGUGGCCUAUCAGUGGGAGUGCCUAUCACAACCUCUCUUUAAGUUCUCUCAGUACCAAGACGGCCUCCAGAUCCCUGUAGGAAUGACCCAACCAUAAAAAUGUACUCGUCUGGAAGCCAGAGUAUCAGCUUGCACCAGGUGAAGCAAAACCAGAACCUGCAAGCCUCAUGAACUUGGAAACCUACCAAAUCACUUCACUCGAUCAACCCAGUACUUGUAGGUGUCAAGAGUUCCAAUUAAGGGUCCAGCCCAACCACCAACCUGGCAGCAAGAAAGAAGGGUCCCUUGUAAGAAUGUACAGCUGGCCUGUCACAAGCAGAAUCAAUGCUCCUGACACUUGCCAAGCCCAGGACACUGGAUUAGAAUAGAGCCAAUGGAAAGAGACAUGUAUGAAAGUCAUGGAUGCUUCUUAAAAACUGUGACAUUUCAAGCACCCAAUAAACAUACAGUAAUGAAUCA